AUUUCACGAGACGUGUGUGCUUGCGCGCGUGUGUGUGUGUUUUCUUCAAGGAUGACGAUGAUAAUAACGAGGGUGUUGUGAAAACGAAAAACGAAUUACGGAAUAAAUUCUGCGUGUGCGACAUCUUUCGUGUGUUUUGUUCGUUCCCUUCUGUUGGCACUGCACCCUAGCCCUAGCAGUCACCUUCGCAGCCGUGUAAAAGUUCACAAAAAUCGCCCCGUGUUCCCCGUUUGCACACACAGUUCGCGACUGCGUCACAUAUUUGCUGUGCGUGCAUGAUUUGUUCAUACUGCUGAAGCUUUGUUCCGAGCAAAGCAGAGUGUUUCAGUGUGUGGCCAGCUUGCCAAUCAUCCUGGCAUCGGAGUGACGACAAAAAACAUGAUGACAAAGGUGACGAAAGCUAGCGCGGAACUGGUCGGGCAACAGCGAUCGAUUCCCGUGGCCAACUGCCCGUCAUGUUUCCCUCAUUAAGGAUGCAGCUCUGUGCGUAAUCAGCGUCAAUCGCUUCGUGUUUAUACUUAGUGCGAGUGAAGGGGAGGGGGGGUACCAAAGGGGGACAAGGGCAAGUGGCAAAAAGCAUAACGCAGCAAGCAGCAAGGAUGGAGAACAAUCCGGGCGAAUCGUCGGAGGUCGUGUACGGCACGCACGAAGACUCCGCAAUGGUGAUGUCAGAAAAGGUGCAAUCUCUAGCCGGGAGCAUUUACCAGGAAUUCGAACGUAUGAUUCAACGGUACGAUGAGGACGUGGUGAAAACGCUGAUGCCACUGCUCGUGAACGUGCUCGAAUGUCUCGAUUCGGCGUACCAAACCAACCAGGAGCAGGACGUCGAGCUGGAACUGCUGCGCGAGGACAACGAGCAGCUGGUAACGCAGUACGAGCGCGAGAAGAAUGCCCGCAAGCAGUCGGAGCAGAAGCUGCUCGAGACGGAAGAUUUGGCCGAGCAGGAGAACAAAGAGCUGGCCAGCCGGCUCGAGUCGCUGGAAAGCAUCGUGCGCAUGCUGGAGCUCAAGCACAAGAACAGCAUGGACCAUGCCAGCCGGCUCGAGGAGCGCGAGUCCGAGCUGAAGAAAGAGUACAGCAAGCUGCACGAACGCUACACGGAACUGUUCAAAACACACGUCGACUACAUGGAACGGACCAAGCUGAUGAUGGGCAACUCGACGCACUCGCAGGCCGGCUCAGCCUCCGAACGGCUGGACGUUUCCCGGUCCCGCCUGAUGCCGAUGAUGCGCUCCACCGGUCCCGUCUCGUACGGGUUUGCUUCGCUGGAAAAUUCUACCAUGCUCGAUACGGAAACGCUUUGCAGCGAGGAGGACAGUGGGCCCGAUUCGGGGCCACCUUCGCUGCAGAAUGAAAUCGAAACGAAGGCUACGGAAAAGGUGGAAGAGGUGGAUUCGGCAACGACGGCACCGGCCGACGGGAUGGCAACGAGCUCAACCACCGCCAAGGUGCUGCAGAGCCCAACCAGCGGCGGUGGCGGUGUGUCGGGCAAAACGACCACCAAGAAAGAGCAACGGUCGGCCAACACGCUUUAUCAGGAGCUGUCGUUUCAGGACGAUAAUUUGGAGAGUGAAGAGAACGAAAUUACCGGUGCCUGGGUGCAUCCGGGCGAUUACGCUUCAUCAGCUAACGAUAACUUUUUCGGUAUGGGCAAAGAGGUCGAAAACUUGAUCAUGGAAAACAAUGAGCUGCUAGCGACCAAGAACGCACUGAACAUCGUGAAAGACGAUCUGAUAGUGAAGGUGGACGAGCUGACCGGUGAAAUCGAAAUCCUCCGGGAGGAGCUGAACGCGGUCAUACUGGCGCGCAACAAGCUGAAGGCGAAGGUGACCGAGCUGGAGGAGGAGCUGAAGAAAACGAAAGCCCAGGUGAAGCAGGCGUCCGCGUCGGCCACCGACCAGGAGGAGGAGGGCGACGUCCCGAUGGCACAGCGCAAACGGUUCACGCGCGUGGAGAUGGCGCGCGUACUGAUGGAGCGCAACCAGUACAAGGAGCGGUUCAUGGAGCUGCAGGAUGCGGUACGCUGGACGGAGAUGAUGCGCGCCUCGCGGGUGGAAAACCUGGACAAGAAGUCGAAGCAAGGCAUUUGGAAGUUUUUUAGUAAUCUCUUUAGCUCCAACGAUAGGCCAACGAAUGAGUCCCCCGGGCGCCUUCACCAGCGCUAUGGUGGCGUGAGUGCGCAGUCGCAAGCGCACGGUGCCGCCUCGCUGCUGCCUGCCAUGCCCGAGGGACGAAUGCUCAUUGGGGCAGGCCAGAGUGGUGGCAGCGGUGGUGGUGGUGGUGGUGGUAUCGGUAUCGGCGGUCUCGGUGCCGGUUCCUCGACUGCCCUUUUACGCAGUGGCCAUGCAAGCAACAUACUGGUGCUAUCGAAAGAACCGGAACUGACGCAAUCGGAGCGUGCGAUGCAGCGACGCCGCGACCAGUACCGGCAGGUGCGGGCACACGUCCAGAAGGAGGACGGCCGGCUGCAGGCGUACGGUUGGAGUUUACCUAGUCUAAAACCAUCGAACGGUGCGGGAGCGAACGGUGGCAUUGGGGGUGGCGGUAUCGGAGGUGUGGGGCGUCCGACCGGUAGCGGAGUGCCGGUGCCGGUUCCCGUAUACUGUCGCCCGCUGGCCGAGGCUAGUCCGCACAUGAAGGUGUGGUGUGCCAGUGGCGUUAAUCUGCAGGGCGGCUACACUAAGGACGGUGGGUGUAUCGUUGGAGCGGCCAGCAUAUUUUAUUCGAAAGACACAACCGGCGGCGGUGCGCAGAUCACCGAGCUUACCGGUGAUGAGGCCACGGUGGAACCGAAAGAUUUGGGCGAACUGCUGGAGCGGAAGCUACUCGCGCUGGGCGGUCCGAAUUCGCUCGAUGCGGACAGCGAGCUUAGCUCGUACGUGUGGAUCUGCACCAGCACGCAUUCGGCCAGCACGGUGACGGUGAUCGACGCUAAAAAUCCGUCGGAAGUGCUGGAUUCGUUCCCGGUGUGCCAGAACCAUCUGCUGUGCAUCUGUACGGUGCGCGGUGCGCUGGAAAUGGACUACGCAAUGCUGGAAAACAGCGAAGUUACCAAAUCGGGUAAAAUGCUAGAAAAACCCGGCGAAUCUCCUGACGACAUCGGUAAAGUGUCGUACGAAAAGGUGGUCCGCACGGUCGCCGAAUCGGCGGCUGCUCCUUCGGCAGACGAAAGCAAACUUACGGAACAAGCACAAGAAGCGGUACCACCAGCCGAUACAAGACCGGAACAAGCGACCGAACCUAACACGGAUCGUGAUCUGAACCAUAACAGCAAGCAGUCCUCAAACGAAGCUGCAGAUAGCACCGACGUAGACACGAAAGAGGUGGCGAUCGCGGUGGACGGUAAUGAUAAUACGAUCGAGGGCGAAACGACCGCCUCGCCCGGCAGGGAGCAGUCUGCGGCGGCGAUCGAAGAAUCCAUCUCUUCCAUCGGACCGACCAUGUGGCUCGGCGCGCAGAACGGUAUGCUGUACGUGCACAGUUCCGUCGCCCGGUGGAACGUGUGUCUGCACAAGAUCAAACUGCCCGACUCGGUGCUCUCGAUCGUGCACGUAGAGUCGCGUGUGAUCGUUGCGCUGGCGAACGGCACGCUGGCAGUAUUCCGCCGACAGGUGAACGGCGAAUGGGAUCUGAACAGCUACCAUCUGCUAACGCUCGGUUCGCCGAAGUAUUCCGUGCGCUGUUUGACGAUUGUCGGCGAUAAGGUUUGGGCGGCGCACCGUAACAAGAUUCACGUGAUCGAUCCCAUCACGCUGUGCAUACUGAAAUCGUUCGAAGCGCACCCACGGAAGGAAAGCCAGAUCCGUCAGAUGGCAACAACGGGGCUGGGUGUGUGGGUAUCUAUAAGAUUGGACUCGACUCUAAGGCUGUUUUCGGCGGAAACGUACGACCAUCUGGAAGACAUCGAUAUCGAUCCGUACGUGUCGAAGAUGCUGGGCACUGGAAAGCUCGGCUUUUCCUUUGUGCGCAUUACCGCACUGCUGGUAUCGUGCAACAGGCUGUGGAUAGGAACGGGCAACGGUGUGGUAAUUUCCGUACCACUGACUGACGCUAGCGGCGCUUCCAAUACACCGUACUCGCCGCGCUUCGCCAACGCUCAACUUUCGUUCCAUGGGCACCGUGACGCAGUGAAGUUUUUCGUGUCGGUGCCGAUGAACCCACCCAACCAGGGGUUACCGACCACUUCGAAGGAUAUGCUGGUAAUAUCCGGCGGAGAAGGAUACAUCGAUUUCCGGUUAGAAGAAAUAGUAGAAGAUGUAUGCGAUUCCGCAACACACUUAUUAGUUUGGCGUGUUAGUUCAUCGUACGAUGAUUUGUCUGUUUGUAGCUAAAGGUUUAUGUACAUUUUCUAAGCGAAAGAAAGUAUAUGGCCUACUCCCACCACCACCACCACCACCACCACCCAUCCAACCCCCAAAAGCAACCGCUCGGUUCAAAUUGCGUCCAAUUGCGAAAGUCAGUCCCAUUACGAAACGAACACGUAUCGGCAUGAUGCACACCCACACUCUGCCUAUAGUUCUCGAACAUGUUGUAUUUGCAAAUGAAAGGUGACGGUGAUAUGGAGGCCAGCGUUGAGCUAGAACCGAACCAAACCAUAGAGAAUCGCAACGAGAAAAGCUACAUAAUCGUGUGGAAAGUCAGCAAUCGCUAAGCUCACGCCAGUAUGUGAUCCAUGCUUACCAGCGAGAACAAAUUGACCUUCUUGUACCCCACACUACACUAAACCAUACCCUACCCACUAACUCUAACCACACUCUGGUGCAUCGAUGGAUGGAAGGAUCGAGCGAAAGUUACACACAACAUGAGUGGCAUCCAAAGGGAAGAAGGUGAUGGGGCGCUAAAGCGCAUUGGAUCCGGGAUUAGCGAAGCUGAUAAUGAAACAAGUAUUCUAGUGUGUUCCAGGUUUGUGCCGGCUGUUCUUUUUAACGCGUUGUGCAGCGGUAGUCAGGUUCAGUUUUGCAUAAAGUAAUACUGCGCUAAAAGGGAAGGCUAACCCGAAUGCGGUUAGCGAUAAAGCGUAAGCGUAACACUUGUUUAAAGGAAACAUUUUUUAUGUAGCGACUCUUCUGCUCGAGACGCUCCGGCGGCUCGGAGGAUCAGCUUCGAAUUAUAUUAGCAGACAUACGGCUAAGUUAAUUUGAAUGUUUGCCGGACAGUAGACACGAUGGUAGCCAACCAACCAACCGAUAAUAAUUCCCUGUCCCCCCCACCCUUUUUCCUGCCCCCCCUAACACGCCAAAGAAUAAGUUUAGUAGAGCGUUUUAGUAGCCCCUUUCAAUGAAGGACACAAGACGGAAUACACACACACAUUAUUAACACAAGUCGGACAAAAGCUCUAUACCCACUCAUAUAAAUAUUAUUACGUUCGCAAACAGAAAUGGUUUUGUUUUGUGUUGUCAGCAACAACACAUUACCAUUAAUAUUUAUCUCUAAAGUAGUAGUAACUAAUACGGCGAGCUAGUGAGGUAGUGGCGAGGAGGCAAAACAACAAAAAAACCAAUGGAACACGUACACAAAGAUUGCAAUUCCUAGCUUGUGCUGCAACGCAUUAACAAAAGCAUAGUUACAAAAAAGCGCGAAAAUUCUUCCUUUCCCCCUUUUAGUAGUUUUAUUGUUAGGGAUCGGUGAACCCAUUUUAACUUGUGUACAUAUUACAGUGUUAUAUUGCUGAGUUGUAUUUAAUUUCGUGUGCAGUAGCAAGUCAUCGUUUUUGCACCUGUCGUGUAUGGUUAGUCAUUUUAACGGUGUUGUACGUUUAAGCUUGUUUUAUUGUUUUAUUCUUAUUUUUAUCUAGCACAGAACCCAUCCAGUCGAACGUUUUAUCGAUCAGGCAGGGCUAGAAAGCGAGCGAGCGUGGGAGAGAAAGUAACAAAAAACACACACACACACACACACACGCUGCAGUCACAACAGGACAGGUUGGGUAAUUGAAAACCUCUGUAAAUGAAUGUAGUAAGCGAAGCCUACUUUACCUUACGGUACACAAAUGUUUAACGUUAAUGUCUUCAGUUGACAUUUUGUUUUGAAAAAAAUGCAGUGCAGCAGUGCAAUCCCGGUUUUCAACUUCAUAAUCAAAUGCUACCAAUUUAGAUAAAAAAAAGCCGCGUGCGAUGCUAUUGUGCUGCAGCUCUCCCUCUCUUAUACAGCUUUGCAGCUGCGUAGCUGCCACAUGCAUCCGCUCUAUCUAGCAGCAGCAAGGUUUUAAUUUGUUCGAAUAUUGCGUCAAAUAGUUUGUGUUAGUGGCGGAUGUAUCGCUUUCAUUCAAACACACCCGCGAGAUCGAAAGUGUGCGAUCGAAAGUUCGUAUGAUGUAAAGGAAAAACAAAACUACUCCCUCCCCCCGCCCCAUUUGAAAGACAAAGCAAAAUACAAGUAACCAAUGCAUUAAUAA